UAAUACGUAGGGUGCGAGCGUUAUCCGGAUUUACUGGGCGUAAAGGGUCUGUAGGCGACUAGAUAAGUUUCUCGUUCAAAACUGAGGCUCAACCUCAGCGUGGCGAGGAAAACUAUCUGGAUUGAGUUAGUUCGAGGAAACUGGAAUUCUCAGUGGAGGGGUGAAAUCCGUAGAUAUUGAGAGGAACACCAAUCGCGAAGGCAGGUUUCUAGGACUCAACUGACGCUCAGAGACGAAAGCUUGGGUAGCAAAAGGGAUUAGAGACCCCUGUAGUCCAAGCCGUAAACAUUCCUUGCUAGUUGUUCUUCCUUCGGGGAGAGUGACGUAAGCUAACGCGUUAAGCCAGGCGCCUGGGGAGUACA
rnacentral:rRNA from 1 species